AGGGAAUCUUCCGCAAUGGACGAAGGUCUGACGGAGAAACGCCGCGUGAGUGAUGAAGGCUUUCGGGUCGUAAAACUCUGUUGUUAGGGAAGAACAAGUACGAGAGUAACUGCUCGUACCUUGACGGUACCUAACCAGAAAGCCACGGCUAACUACGUGCCAGCAGCCGCGGUAAUACGUAGGUGGCAAGCGCUAUCCGGAAUUAUUGGGCGUAAAGCGCGCGCAGGCGGUUUCUUAAGUCUGAUGUGAAAGCCCGCGGCUCAACCGUGGAGGGUCAUUGGAAACUGGGGAACUUGAGUGCAGAAGAGAAAAGCGGAAUUCCACGUGUAGCGGUGAAAUGCGUAGAGAUGUGGAGGAACACCAGUGGCGAAGGCGGCUUUUUGGUCUGUAACUGACGCUGAGGCGCGAAAGCGUGGGGAGCAAAC
rnacentral:rRNA from 1 species